rnacentral:rRNA from 1 species
UACGUAGGGUGCGAGCGUUAAUCGGAAUUACUGGGCGUAAAGCGUGCGCAGGCGGCGCGUUAAGACAGGUGUGAAAGCCCCGAGCUUAACUUGGGAAUUGCGCUUGUGACUGGCGAGCUGGAGUGUGGCAGAGGGGGGUGGAAUUCCGCGUGUAGCAGUGAAAUGCGUAGAGAUGCGGAGGAACACCGGUGGCGAAGGCGACCACCUGGACAGAGAUUGACGCUGAGGCGCGAGAGCGUGGGGAGCAAACAGG